GCUGGCAGAGGCGUGGUUAUGGCAAUGGUGGCCAGCACGGAGAGGUAAGGUACUUAUUCUUCGUAUGAGGGUGAGAAUGCAAAAGACUGCUGAACAUUAGUGAUAGCAGAGGAGCCAACGAUAGCGACGAAAGUAAUGGGAUGAAGAGUAUGCUUUCUUUGGAUUGUUUUAGUGAUUUUGCUUCUUAUGGUUGGUUGUAGCUUAAUUUGCUAUAUGUGUAUCAUUUCCUUAAACCGGCUGGGGGACGUGGACACCGCCGCGAGAGGCCAUAAUAGCAGGAGGACAUAUGAUGGUGGUCGUGUACUUAUUAACGGUAAG
rnacentral:lncRNA from 1 species